UUAUUUCACCAUCACAGAGCGUAAUGAUUCAUAUAAUUAAUUAAUCAAGAGAACAUUAUAGAGAUCGAAAAAGUAGUUAGUAUGUGGGCCAGGUGGCACAUGUGGUCGUCUCUUAUCAAAUCUGAUAGUGCUGGUAUGGUAUUAGCCGAUGGUGCCAUAAAGUUGGAUGGUUGGAAAAGCCGGGUCCUUUGCUGCCAUGAUGAAAGGAAUGAAUACAGAGCCGUGUUCCUUUUCGUCUUUGUAAACAGUUCGAAGAUUGACCGUCGAGAUUUAUGAUAUUUUUUUCUAGCAGAUAUGACUGUGAUCAUUAUUGGGGAAUUUACACGCAGGACCAAUAAAUUAUUACAUGAACAUUUUCCUUUUCUUUUUUCUAGGACACAAAUAAUAAUCUUUUUUAUUCUUCGAAAAAUAAUCAAUCCCAGUCGGUUAUAACAACCCCGUAUCACUCUCACUCUCACCCAAAUCCAUGCACUGCCAACACACACAAACUCUUCCCUCAACAACCCUUUCAAACACCAAAACAGAAUCGUUUUGCUAAUGCGACGUGCGGUUUUACGGCUCACACACAACAACCCCUCUCCCAUUCUUAUAACCGUUCCUCUCUCUGUGCAUCCUGACCUUCAUCUUCUUUAAAUAAACGUAUUCAGAACAAUUACACGCAUAAAUAUUAUAUUACUCAUCUCUACAAUCUAAAGUACUGACUUAUUUCCUUGUCUUCCUCCUGAGGACUGUCAAUGAUGUGUUCUUGGAGCCCACAAGAAGAUGCCACUCUGAUCAAACUUGUGGAACAACAUGGCCCAUUACGCCGACUGAAGAAGCUACGAUUGUCCAGGUACACGCCCUCCUUGGCAACAAGUGGGCUGCAAUAGCCAGACUCUUGCCUGCCCGUACUGAUAUGCUGUAAAGGAUCAUCAAAUAUGUGACAUGCCAUCCGCCUCGUCAGGGUCGAUUUUAGUUUUGAAAUGCCCGACUGUAGAGAUUUCGGUGGUCUCAAUCUGAUUCCUAGCCCAAGCGGUAGUGCUUGCAUGCAUCGCCAGGGCAUAACAGAGUUAGAGGAGGUGCGAGCGUUGAUGGGCCUGAGAUGUCCUGACAUUAUCCCCACCAGGGGAUGGUUUCAUUUCAAUGCCUGUGGUGGAGAAAGUGGAGGGGGAUGUGGCAGUAGAGGGCAGAGAAAAGGACCUGGCGAUGGUGAAGAGAGAUGUACUGGGAAGACGGAUGAGACUUGCUUGAGGGCCAUCAUGCAGAAAACGAUGCAAGAGGAAGCUAGGAUUUACUUUGAUGGAUUCAUGGGUAUUCAUCUGCUUACGCAAUCCAAUCACAGAAAAUAAUAUAUAUAUAUAUAUAUAUUAGAAAUGCUAUAAUGAAAAAUUGAUUGAAAGCAUCUUAACAGUGAUUUAUUACGAGCGGUUGCCACCACCCCCAUCCUCUUACAAUAAGAUUACAAAAUAAUUUAGGAGCAAGCAUUGAGCAUAACACUAAAUUAUUGAGAUAUCAUCAAUUUUAUGCAUAGGUUAUUUUUAUAUCAAAACAUAAACAGGAAACCUAGAAAACGGAUACACAUCCUUAAUUGAGAUUUCUAAAACUUCAAUGAUAAAAUUGAUAUAAAAUAAAGAAGACAAAAAACUAUUUGGCUAUAAUAUUAUAACUAUCUAUUAUUUUUUGUGAUAAUUUUAAGAUUUGCUCAAAAUUCAAUCUAAUUGCAGGAUAUUUUUAUCAUUACCCAGACUAAUCUACAGAAAAUUGCUACAUCUUUAAAUCGAACCUCUCUAGCAGAAGAGGUGCCGUAACAGCCAGUUGGGCUCCUGGUCAUCAGUGCAAUUCAGGUUUGAUUCUUUUCUAAAUUCCACCAUGCAAUUUUAGUGCUUCACACACUCAAAACCCUUACCACCCAAUCGACCCAACUUUUGUUGCGCUGAUGAGAAAAGAACAUCAAUUUCUCAGACAAAAUCCCAAUAUUGAAGCUCAAAACCGGAAAACCAUACACACGGCAAUGCAACUGUCGAACAUGGAACAGUUUAAGCUGCAAAAAUGGCAUCCUUAUUUUACACGAACAAAAUCAAAGGAGAAUUCAUAUUGGAAAAUCCAUAAAAAAUCCAGAAACCAAAAGAUUAAUGGCAAGCACAAUAGGAUGAACAAGUACAAGAAAUCUAGGACACAGACACGUCUAGGUAAAUAAAAAAUAAUCAUUAAAAGCAGACUAGUUUCUCACCCUCCCCGUACUGAAUCAUAGAAACCCUCAGUAAAUCACAUAAACAAAUAAUCCCCACCAACUGCAACAAAAACUUGAUGAAAAAUUAUUUUUUGCAAACUACCGCACCACUAAUCCAUAACUCGAUAUGGCGUGCACCUACGUAACAACUAGGCCAAAUAUCCCAUAAAAUCAACAUCGCAGUCUAAAUUCCUGGACAUGUUUCAUUGAACUAUACCUUAAAGCAUUACCGCCAACCACAGACUGCAGUUUAUUCCAGUUCUCGUACAAGAAAGUCACCAAAUCCAUCAACCAAAUUACACGACCAAAACACCACUCCUCAACACCCCCCCCCCCCAGUUUAGCAAUCAGGCAAACAGAAUUCAUGCCAUUAAAUUACAAAUUCAACAAUAAAAUGAUCCGCAAUUCACAAACCAAUCCAAUAAGAAAAGGAGAUAAUAGCACAGCAAUGGAGGCCAAUAAGCAAAACAAAAUCCCAUUUCCAUUCAGUUUAAAAGGUCUAACAAAACCAUGAAAUUUAAAACAGCGAUGCUCUACUUAUCUGAAAUCAGUAGUGAUAAUAAAACAAACAUAAACAGGGACAAACACUAAAGCGAACGACAGCUCUCUAUUGUU